rnacentral:tRNA from 1 species
CGGGGCGUAGCGCAGCCCGGUUAGCGCACUAGUCUGGGAGACUAGGGGUCGGAGGUUCAAAUCCUCUCGCCCCGACCA